AUUGAACGCUGGCGGCAGGCCUAACACAUGCAAGUCGAGCGGCAGCGGGAAAGUAGCUUGCUACUUUUGCCGGCGAGCGGCGGACGGGUGAGUAAUGCCUGGAAAUUGCCCAGUCGAGGGGGAUAACAGUUGGAAACGACUGCUAAUACCGCAUACGCCCUACGGGGGAAAGCAGGGGACCUUCGGGCCUUGCGCGAUUGGAUAUGCCCAGGUGGGAUUAGCUAGUUGGUGAGGUAAUGGCUCACCAAGGCGACGAUCCCUAGCUGGGCUGAGAGGAUGAUCAGCUACACUGGAACUGAGACACGGUCCAGACUCCUACGGGAGGCAGCAGUGGGGAAUAUUGCACAAUGGGGGAAACCCUGAUGCAGCCAUGCCGCGUGUGUGUAGAAGGCCUUCGGGUUGUAAAGCACUUUCAGCGAGGAGGAAAAGUUGAUGCCUAAUACGUAUCAACUGUGACGUUACUCGCAGAAGAAGCACCGGCUAACUCCGUGCCAGCCGCCGCGGUAA
rnacentral:rRNA from 1 species